GAUGAACGCUGGCGGCGUGCCUAAUACAUGCAAGUCGAGCGAACAGACGAGGAGCUUGCUCCUCUGACGUUAGCGGCGGACGGGUGAGUAACACGUGGAUAACCUACCUAUAAGACUGGGAUAACUUCGGGAAACCUGAGCUAAUACCGGAUAAUAUAUUGAACCGCAUGGUUCAAUAGUGAAAGACGGUUUUGCUGUCACUUAUAGAUGGAUCCUCGCCGCAUUAGCUAGUUGGUAAGGUAACGGCUUACCAAGGCAACGAUGCGUAGCCGACCUGAGAGGGUGAUCGGCCACACUGGAACUGAGACACGGUCCCGACUCCUACGGGAGGCAGCAGUAGGGAAUCUUCCGCAAUGGGCGAGAGCCUGACGGAGCAACGCCGCGUGAGUGAUGAAGGUCUUCGGAUCGUAAAACUCUGUUAUUAGGGAAGAACAAAUGUGUAAGUAACUAUGCACGUCUUGACGGUACCUAAUCAGAAAGCCACGGCUAACUACGUG
rnacentral:rRNA from 1 species